rnacentral:lncRNA from 1 species
GGGUGUGGCAGGGCGGGUCUACGGAGGCCUCUUUAGGCCACAGAGCAACGUAAAGCCUAGGCCUGCAGAGACUGCUCAGUCACAGUUGAAGGAGACCUACUGAGUCCUGAGGACAACCAACAAAGGCCUUAACGGCACAGAAGGUUGUGACAUCAGAAAGUUGAUAGACGUGAUCGCUAAGAAUCUUGCCGAAUAUUCUAGGACUACAAGUAAAAGAGACCCUAUUUUCUGUGCUGGGAAAAGAAGUCCCACCAGUGUGAUCAGGAAUAAAACACUUCAGGUGCAACGUGAUCAUUAUUCAAAGGUUCUGUGAAGCCAAUUACCCCCUUUGCAAAGUGAAAAGUGCAACUUUGGAUUUUUCUGAUCAGAGUAAUAUAGAGAGGAGCCCACCCUUUUCUUACUAUACAGAGAAGAGUAAAACACAGUCACCUUUACACAGCAUCUGAGUGGACCUAACACAGGGCAGUGAAAGUGAUGCAGAACAAACUUCAAAGCCUCCAGGAGCACACGUGACCUCAGCUCACCCCAGUGUCUCCAGGUCUCCUGCUGCUUUAAC